CAGCCGCCGCGGUAAUACGAAGGGGGCUAGCGUUGUUCGGAUUUACUGGGCGUAAAGCGCACGUAGGCGGACUUUUAAGUCAGGGGUGAAAUCCCGGGGCUCAACCCCGGAACUGCCUUUGAUACUGGGAGUCUUGAGUUCGAGAGAGGUGAGUGGAAUUGCGAGUGUAGAGGUGAAAUUCGUAGAUAUUCGCAGGAACACCAGUAGCGAAGGCGGCUCACUGGCUCGAUACUGACGCUGAGGUGCGAAAGCGUGGGGAGCAAACAGGAUUAGAUACCCCAGUAGUCCCUGUCUCUUAUAA
rnacentral:rRNA from 1 species